rnacentral:lncRNA from 1 species
CUUCCUCCGCCCACUCGGCUCCCGAGCCCCCACCCGGGUCCGGGCCGCGCGCCCUCCCGCCAGCCUGCUGGCCCGGCGGGAGCUGCGCUGGGGGUCCCCGGCUCGGCCCGCCCCACGCCGCGCUCACCCCCGAGAGGAUGCGGAUUCCAACUUGGAUCGGGGGAGGGAACGUCCUGGAUGCCGAGCGCCUCCCGGCUGUUUGCUCUUCUUUAUUUGUUUUCUCCGAGAAAGGAGGAAAACGGAGAAAAGGGAAAAGGAAAGAAGCGGCACUGGCCGCGUCUGCCGGCGGACGCCGGCUGCGCAGGAGCGAGGCGAGAGUCGAGGUGAGGGUCGCCGCUCACUCACUCCUCGCUCCCCCUUUUUUUUUUUUUUUUUUUUUUUUUUGCAAAGGCGGGGUCUCUCUUUUUGCAAACCAAUGACACAACCCUACAUGGGCUGGUCUCGCCCCCAACGGAGACUCCUCACUACAAAUCGGCUCUCGGGGGAUUAGUGGCUGCGUGAAAGUGCACAUAGGCGCGGCGGCGGCGGGCGGGCGCGGCAGCCAGUCCCCAGCCCGCCCCCGGCACGGCCCCGCCCGGGAGGCUCUCGGGAGGCGCUGGGCCCUCGGAGCGAGAGACUGGGGUCUCGCCGCAGCGGUUCGGAGUUCGCCCUCCGCUCGCCCUCCUUCCUCCUCCGCCCCGUCCACGUGGGGCCCGGGGCGGCCGGCCACGUGGGGCAACGCGAGCCUGGGCGGGCCUCGGCGCGGCUUCCCAGGGUGGCCUCGGCCCUGGAGGGCCCCCGCCGGGCGAGCGGAGCCAGCCUUCCCCCUUCCUGGCUCCUCAGCUCCAACUUCCUCCUGGGCUACGGCGCGGGCCGCUCCCGCCUGCGCUGGCCCGCGGGGUCAGGCGCGGGGCGGCCGCAGGGGGCAUUGCGCACCCCAGUCAGACCCGAGAGGCCGUGCCCGGGAGGCGGCGGCGGCUGUGGGCGCGCGCGCGAGGGCCAUGUGUGCUGGAACUUGCGGCGGUGUAUUCCCUACGAGAGGCAAAACAUUUUUACACAUUAAAAAAAAAAGUUCCUUCCUGUUGUCUGGAUCUCGCUGGAGCUAUUUUUAAAGACUCGCUUGCCAUAGGUUGGAUGUCCGAGCCUGGCGGGACGGAGGCCCGCCGGGGCCUGGAGAGUCGGGCUCCCGGGCUUUCGCAGCGCCCUUCCACCACCCGAACCCACCUGGUCUUGACGUCCUGCGAUUGAAGUCUGGACGGCAAACGCGGAGCGGGGCCUAGCACCUGGACUGGAUUCCGUGCCGUGACCCGUGACAUCCGAGCGCGUCUCCGGAAGGGAGCCGGUGGCUGCGGACGGGAAGGCUGGGAUCCCUGUGCUUCAGGGAGCCCAAAUUCUCAUCUCACUUCCCUGAAUCCCAGCAGGCAUCCUCCAAGACCCUUUGGGAAUGAGCAGUGCCCAUAAGCUCGAUGUACUUAAAACCAUAUUGAGUUGUUAGGAACUGGAUUGAGAUGUAGAGAAAGAAAAGCUCGGGGAGGGGCCUGAGGUCGAGCUUUUGAAGGCCGAAGAAACGCCCAUUCCGUGAGCUGAGACUCUUGGUGUGGCCUCGGUUCUGGAGAGCCCCAGGCCCUAUCAGGCCCAGAAAUUUACAGCCUGGGGCGUGGUGGGGCAGGGAGAGGCCACCCAGCUGAACCCCUUUUGCGUCCUAAAAAGCGCAGCAGGAGGCCUCUCAGUAUUUAUCUCUGCCUGUUGGCUAAAGUGCACCCAGAUGUGGCCUGCCUGACGGGUAAUGCAGGGCCCGUGGCUUCUAUGAUUGUUUUAUACUCAAACAUUUUAAAAUUCGAUUGACGAUCUCCCUCCUAUGACGGCAUCGCGAGCCCCGGCCUUUCUCACCGCUGGCAGCUACCCCGGGAACAGACCAGCUAUGCGACUCAAAGGUCUACGGUUAUUCGUGAGAGAAUUCCCAGAUGUGUGUUUCCAGUUGUCUCCAUCUUUUUUGCGACCCUGAGUUCCCACAGACUUAUCUUCAGGGCCCUCCUUUCCCCAUCGGCUUUGCCUCAAGGUCAUGGUGCCUAAACACUUGGGUAUAAACAUCCCAUUCACCCCAAGACUACUAGGAUAUCUGUUCCGGCUUUUCGGAGUUUCUCGGGCAUAAACUAUAAUAACUAUACGUAUAUAUUUUUCUGGUUUUUUUAUUUCACAGAAGAUCUUUGGUUCCGAGUGGUUGUCUGUCCUUAUGGAGAAAGUAAAAAAGUUAUCCAUAUGAUUUGUUCAAUUUUCACGCCUUCUAGAGUUUGAAAUCUGCCUGUGAAAAUACAGCCUUUGUUUUGAGAACAUUGUAAAGAAGACAUCGUCAAAGCUGAAAAUUCUUCUUGCUUAAGCUUGACACCCUGCAUUUUAAAAUGUAGAGCUCAGUUGCCACCAACAUGUGAACAUUUCCAACCUCUACUUUCUUUUUUAAGAUGUUCAAAAUCCCAAAUAAAAAAUUAGGUGAUAUACAAAUGGCCAGUAAGCGCAUGAAAAGAUAUUUAGCAUCACUAGUAAUUAGGGAAAUGCAAAUCAAAACCAUAAUAAGGUACCGCUUUAUGUCCACUUGGAUGGCUAUUAUGGACAAAACAGGAAAAAACAAUUGUGGAUGAAGAUGUGGAGAAAUGCAAACUUGUGUGCUGCUGGUCGGAAAGUAAAAUGGUAUAGCCACUGUGGAAAGCAUUCUGGCAGUACCUCCAAAAGUUAAACAAAAUUGCCAUGUGAUCCAGCAAUUCCAUUGCUGAAUAUGUGCCCAAAAAAUGGAAAGUUGAGACUCAAAUGGAUAUAUCUGCCCCCAUGUUCAUAGCAACUUUAUUCACAACAGCCACAAGGUGGAAACAACCCAUGUAUCUAUCAAAAGCCAGAUGUGGUGGUGCACAUCUGUAAUCCCAGCACUCAAGAGGCUGAGGCAGGAUUGCUGUGAGUUCAAGGACUACCUGGGCUACUUGGUGUUUAGUGAUGAGCUGUCAUUCUAAUCUUUAAACAGGAGAAAGGAAAUCCUACGAAUUAAAUGUGUUGUCAGAAGCUGGUUUAAAAAAAGAAAAGAUGGAAGCCAGGCACAGUGGCACAAGACUUAAUCCCAGCUAUUUGGGAGGCUGAAACAGGAAGACUGACUUCAAGUCCACCAUGGGGAACGUGAUGAGACACCUUUCUCAAAAAUAGAAAGACAAGGACUGGCAUAGUGUGGUGGAUUAUAAGGCUCUUCAGGAUCAAUUUUGGAACAAUAACAAAAAGUCAUGAUAAUAAAGCAGAAAGUAAAUGAUGAAUGACCUGAAAUAAGAGUCCCAUUUAUGUAUUUAUAUUCCAGAAGAAGAAACAACAUGAAGCAUUCACAAAGGUUGCAUCUAAUACUUUUCUUUUUAUAAAAUAUCUAUGAUCACUUUUCCCUGAUUGACUGUUAGAAAAAUACUAUUUUUUUUCAUGCAAUAUCAUUAAUCAAGUGGUAGGAGUUUGAAAUGUCCACACUGCACUCAGUUAUAUAGAAUACACUUUUUUUUUUUUCCUUUUAAAUUCUGGGGAACUCAGCUCAUCUGCUCAGAUGCUUCCGUUCCACUCAUUUUUGAGUGUAGGAAGUUAACUCCCUAUCAAACUGAUCUUUGCUCUGGCUCCAGGAGUUUCCAUUCUCUUUCUGUUUCUA